rnacentral:rRNA from 1 species
AGAGUUUGAUCAUGGCUCAGAUUGAACGCUGGCGGCAGGCUUAACACAUGUAAGUCGAGCGGGGAAGGGUAGCUUGCUACCUGACCUAGCGGCGGACGGGUGAGUAAUGCUUAGGAAUCUGCCUAUUAGUGGGGGACAACAUUCCGAAAGGAAUGCUAAUACCGCAUACGCCCUACGGGGGAAAGCAGGGGAUCUUCGGACCUUGCGCUAAUAGAUGAGCCUAAGUCAGAUUAGCUAGUUGGUGGGGUAAAGGCCUACCAAGGCGACGAUCUGUAGCGGGUCUGAGAGGAUGAUCCGCCACACUGGGACUGAGACACGGCCCAGACUCCUACGGGAGGCAGCAGUGGGGAAUAUUGGACAAUGGGCGAAAGCCUGAUCCAGCCAUGCCGCGUGUGUGAAGAAGGCCUUUUGGUUGUAAAGCACUUUAAGCGAGGAGGAGGCUACUGAGAUUAAUACUCUUGGAUAGUGGACGUUACUCGCAGAAUAAGCACCGGCUAACUCUGUGCCAGCAGCCGCGGUAAUACAGAGGGUGCGAGCGUUAAUCGGAUUUACUGGGCGUAAAGCGUGCGUAGGCGGCUUUUUAAGUCGGAUGUGAAAUCCCUGAGCUUAACUUAGGAAUUGCAUUCGAUACUGGGAAGCUAGAGUAUGGGAGAGGAUGGUAGAAUUCCAGGUGUAGCGGUGAAAUGCGUAGAGAUCUGGAGGAAUACCGAUGGCGAAGGCAGCCAUCUGGCCUAAUACUGACGCUGAGGUACGAAAGCAUGGGGAGCAAACAGGAUUAGAUACCCUGGUAGUCCAUGCCGUAAACGAUGUCUACUAGCCGUUGGGGCCUUUGAGGCUUUAGUGGCGCAGCUAACGCGAUAAGUAGACCGCCUGGGGAGUACGGUCGCAAGACUAAACUCAAAUGAAUUGACGGGGGCCCGCACAAGCGGUGGAGCAUGUGGUUUUAUUCGAUGCAACGCGUAGAACCUUACCUGGUCUUGACAUAGUAAGACCUUUCCAGAGAUGGAUUGGCUGCCUUCGGGGAACUUACAUACCAGUGCCUGCAUGGCUGUCGUCAGCUCGUGUUCGUGGAGAUUGUUUGGGUUAAGCUCCCGGCCAUACGGAGGCG